ACCUCAAGCUCGACACCGGCAUGGGCCGAAUCGGGGUGGUGCCCGCUGAGCUGGGCGGCAUGCUCGAGGCGCUCCGCGGUGCGCACAAGCACCUGCGGCUCGAGGGCUUCUGCUCGCAGCUGGCGAGUGCCGACCUCGAGGGCGCGCCGCUGACGCAGGUUCAGGUUGCCGCCUUCAGAGCCGCUCUGGCGCAGGUGCGCGCGGCGGGCUUCGAGCCGAAGUGGAGACACCUGGGCAACUCGGCCGGCGCGCUCAGCCUGAGCGAGGUGCGUGAUGGCGCUGAAGUGAACAUGGUUCGACCGGGCCUGAUGCUCUACGGCCUGUUCACGGCGCCCUGGCUCGAGCGCGCGAAGGCUCCGCUGCGGCGGGUGAUGGCGUGGAAGACGGGCAUCACCCACCUGAAGACCGUCGAGCCGGGCACGCCGGUUUCGUACGGCAGCACGUGGGUCGCGGCGCGGCGCUCGCUGAUUGCCACGCUGCCGAUCGGUUAUGCCGACGGCUACAGCCGCUCAGGCUCGAAUCGCGCGCAGGCGCUGGUUCGCGGGCAUCGCGCACCGAUCGCCGGCCGCAUCACGAUGGACAUGUGCCUGCUCGACGUCACCGAUGUGCCGGGCGUGAGCGUCGGCGACGAAGUCGUCUUGCUGGGUGCGCAGGGUGGGCAGCGCAUCGACGCCGAAGAGCUCGCCGCGCUCAACGACUCGAUUCACUACGAGGUGCUGUGCGGCGUCGGCGCGCGCGUACCGCGCCUGCUGGUCGACUGACGACUGAAGCCGCCGCUCCAUGCGCGAAUUCUUCAGUGAAGUCGGGUGGGUUUAAAGAGUCGGGCUCAAUGUGGGCGCUGGCAAGCAACUCAUGACGCGUCGAGUCGACAAUCUCCGCAACGGCCGAACCACACGCGCACGGAGAAAACCAUGACCGCAACCUCAGCAGUUGGCAGCACGACCCAGACCAGCACCGCUCGCAAGACCGACCUGCUCAAAGUGAAGCUCACCGAGAACGACCCGUCGCUCAAGGCGGUGGCGACUGCGUUCGGUUUCAAGAUCACGGGCGCCGCGAGCAACCACGGCAUCGUGCCAUCGUUCAUGAAGCUGUCAUUCGACGGGCAAGAUGUCUCGCUGCAGCUGAGCCGGGGCGACACCGGCCUCAACGUGCUGGCGAAGCUGAAGAAGAAGCUGCCCAAGGGCUACGAGGCGCGGCUGAUCGAGAACCGCAAGAGCGCGCCGCCGCAGGUGACCAUCGGCAUCGCGAAGAAGGGCGCCACCAAGAUCGACGCGG
rnacentral:misc_RNA from 1 species